GGUUGACCUCGGAUCAGGUAGGGAUACCCGCUGAACUUAAGCAUAUCAAUAAGCGGAGGAAAAGAAACCAACAGGGAUUGCCUCAGUAACGGCGAGUGAAGCGGCAAGAGCUCAAAUUUGAAAGCUGGCCCCUUCGGGGUCCGCGUUGUAAUUUGCAGAGGAUGCUUCGGGAGCGGUCCCCAUCUAAGUGCCCUGGAACGGGCCGUCAUAGAGGGUGAGAAUCCCGUCU
rnacentral:rRNA from 1 species